rnacentral:rRNA from 1 species
AAAGGAAUAGACGGGGAGACACUACAACGGGUGACGCGUGCGGUUCAAUUAGAUUCUACACCGUGAACCUCACCAGGAGCGACAGCAGGAUGAAGGUCAGUCUGAAGGGCUUACCUGACACGCUGAGAGGAGUUGCAUGGCCAACGUCAGCCUGUGCCGUGAGGUGACCUGUUAAAUCAGGUAACAGGCAAGACCCGCAUGUAUAUUUACUACGUGUACAAUAUACAGAUUGCCUUGGUAACGAGGAUGAAAGUGCGGGCUACGUUAGGUGAGUACAGCCUGAAUCCCCUGGGCAACACGCGCGCGUCAAUGGUGGAUACAACGGGACGCAACGCCGAAAGGCGAAGCUAAUCUCUUAAAGUCCAUCUCAGUUUAGAUCGAGGUUUGAAACUCAGCCUCGUGACACUGGAAUCCGUAGUAAUCGUUUGUUAGCAGCGAACGGUGAAUAAGUCACUGUCUCUUGCACACACCGCCCGU